rnacentral:rRNA from 1 species
GGAAGAGAGGGGAGGGGGGCGGCGGUGAUGCGGAGGGGGUUAGUGGUGUCCGGGGUGAUUGGGGGGAAAGGGAGGGUAGGCGGCCAGGUAGGGCGGGUGUGAAAACUCGAGGCGUAACCUCGAGAUGUCAUCGGAAACCAUGUGGCUAGAGUCCGGAAGAGGAAAGUGGAAUUCCUGGUGUAGCGGUGAAAUGCGCAGAUAUCAGGAAGAACACCAAUGGCGAAAGCAGCUUUCUGGGACGGUACUGACGCGGAGACGCGAAAGCGUGGGGAGCGAACAGGAUUAGAUACCCCUGUAGUC